rnacentral:lncRNA from 1 species
UAGAAGUCAGGUCGGAUUAAGCCAUAGUACGGAAAAAACUAUGCUACCUGUGAGCCCCGUCCAAGGACGUUAAAAGAAGUCAGGCCAUCAUAAAUGCCAUAGCUUGAGUAAACUAUGCUGCCUGUAGCUCCACCUUAGAAGGUGUAAAAAAUCUGGGAGGCCACAAACCAUGGAAGCUGUACGCAUGG